AUGGCUCGAGAGCUCUCUCUCUUUUUCAGACCCGUAUGAUAACACAACAGUAAACGAGGCUGAAUCCAACCCAACUGUAAUGGAGGUUGAAUUGAGAAGCUUACCAGAGUUUCUAAACUUGCUAAUUGAAAUGAACCAACGGUGAUAAAAUGAUGGAAGGGGAUUUCUUCGAAUGUUAUUGCAUGGGCAAGAGGAAAGAUGUAGAAUUGCUAAUGAAAAUUAACCGCUCAAGGGGAUUUUUCAAAUGUUAUUGCAUGGGUAAGAAGAGAGGUGAAGACAGCCGUCCGAUUAAGGGGCCAAUUCGAUAAAAUUCAGUCUAUUUUUGGGUUGUUAUAGAGAGGGUAAUUCUUGAG
rnacentral:lncRNA from 1 species